UUUGUAUUAACAUGAGACCUUUAUUAUUAUUAUUAUUUUAUUUUUUUUGGGGAUUUAAUUAAAGUUUCUAGGUUAUCUCAAGCUUUGGUUUCAUGUUUAGUCUCUAUUUAUUUUGUAUUUUAGUUUGACCGAAUCUUCUUUAAUAGUAGCAUCUUGAUUUUUGAGGGGUUUUAUUUGAUUCUUUGUUUGGUUGCAGACCCCAGCUUCUUUUCCAAUUUCCUCCUUUAGUAACCCACGGAUUAUUUUCUGCUUUCUGUUAUGCACAGCGAAAGACCAAAUCUAUAUAGUUUAGAAGCUGUCUACAAAUCCCAGCAAUAGCAAAGUGAAAAGGGAAAAGAAAGCUAUGAGUAAUGGACAUAGACAUGAGUUAUUAAAACACUAAACAAUUGUAUCUUUUUGGUGGUUUGCUAUUGUACUUGCUACAUGCAAUGAGAAUUACUAUAGUUCACAAUCGAAUGAGUUUUACCAUAGUUAACAAAUGAGUUUCUUUUGGAACAUCUGACUCCUCCUGCCAACAGUUUGAAGCCAUGUCAUAUCAUGUACAACAAUGAAGAUGACAAUGGGAGAGAUAUUUUCCAAAGAUUAUAUUGAAAUUUUAUUGUUUAAUAGAUUGUGCUGAUUUUUUUUUCGACCCAAUUCUUUUUAUGUAAAUAAUUAUAUUAGAGGGUACUUGUGUCUGUUUUGUAUUCUAUAUUUGAUUGAAUUGUAGUUUAGAUGAAUCUUUGGGUUUGGAACAGGAUAUGGAGUUCAUACAUAACCCAUUUUGGUCCUUAAUUGUAUUGUGGAAAAAUUUAUUGCAGAGAGAUGAUUAGAGUCAAAAUAAUUAUGCUGCUA